ensembl:lncRNA
UUUAAAUGUGUUUAAAAUUGUAAAUACAGAAAUCGCAAAUUGCCCUUAAAUCACUCUAUGACUAUAUUGUGUUACUUUGGUAAUUUCUUCAUACAUUUGCUUCCUGUUUUAUCAGAUUGGAGUUGACCGCAAGGUUGAGUAAACUGUUGCUGCCAAACCCUCAAAUUGGGGGAAAAACCAUGACACAUUGGAAAUGUUUAGUUAGGGAUGUGUGUUCUCUUUUAUGAAUCAUUAUGAUGAUGGUGUGUGUGUGUCUGUCGGCGUGUGUUAUGUGUGUGUGUGUGUGUGUCUUUCGGCGUGUGUGUCCUGGCGGCGGUGUGUGUGUGUCUGUCGCGUGUGUGGGUUGUGUUGUUGUUGUCUGUCGGCGGGUGUGUGGCUGUCGGCGUUUGGGUAUUGUAUGUGGGCGUGUGUGUGUGUGUGCGUGUCUGCCUGUGUUUCUCUGCAGAUGGAAGACUAAGACUCUACAGGCUGGCUGCUGUGUGUUUAGGAGUGCUGUGUGCUCUACAAGUCACUCUCAACAUCUCCCUGAGGCUGGCUUUCUCCGGUUCUAACGAAGAGAGGAACCAGUUAGAGGCCUGUUACAACACCCUGGCUACAGAAAGGGACAGGUUGAGUGGCAUGGUCAGUGUUCUGACCUAUGAUAAGGUGAUUCUGCAGAAGAGGCUCUCUGGGUGUGGUAAGUUGUCAAGUCAGUCACUUGGGGCUGCGUCCCCAUUCUCUACCUUUCCGUCUCCUGAAGUGUGCACUUGUAGUGUGCACUCCGACACUGGCAGUGUUCCGAUUUUCUAACUUUCUCCAGAAGUGUGCACAUUUCAGUCGUACAUUUAAAUGCAUUGGAUUGGUGUAAGCACGGCUAGAAGGAGUUUUCACCAUAUUCCUUUAAAUCCAUGAGUGAGAGUGUAUGAGUGUACACUUCGGGAGAAGGGCAUAGCAUCGGAAUUUAACCCUUGUGGGCAGCCUCGUUAUGGAUUUACUAGCAGUUAAUUACGAUGUUAGAAUAUGUUGUUCCAUAAAGUAUAAUGUAUUUCUCUGACAGAGCUAAACAGUUGUUGGAAAAGCUGACGGGAAGGAAACCUGUCCCAAUAAUCUCUCCUUUCUCCAGCAGUGUGCACUUGUUCACUUCCCUUCAUGGAUUUAAACAGACAUGACAGGUAUAUGGGAAUUCCCUCUAGCGUCCAUGCCUACACCAACCAAAUGCUUUUAGAUUUCAGGAGAAAGAAGAGUUUACUGGAACGCAACCCAGACCUGAAUAUUUAAAAAACAAUAUGGUGGACGCUGUGUGUGUGUGUGUGUGUGUGUUGUCUGUAGGUACUGGAAGAGGGGUGGAAGGGAGAUACAUGGCAGUCCCAACGAUGAGGACUGUGUUAAAGUGUCCUAAAGGAUGGAGGAUGUUGGGAUCCAGCUGCUACUUCCUUUCUACUGAGAUGAAAAACCUGGCAGGAGAGCAGACUGGACUGUUUUGAGAGAGGAGCAGACCUGGUGAUCCUAAACAUGAAGAGGAAAAGGUAGAGAGAGAGAGAGAGAGAGAGAGAGAGGAGAGAGAGAGAGAGAGAGAGAGAGAGAGAGAGAGUUAAUUUUUAUGUUUAUUUCACUUUAUAAUUCACUUUAUAUAUUAUCUACCUCCCUUGCUUUGGCAAUUUAACACGUUUCCCAUGCCAAUAAAGCCCUUGAAUGAAUUGAAUUGAAUUGAGAGGAGAGAAGAGAGGAGAGCAGGGAGAAGCGAGGGAGACAGAGAGGAGAGCGGGAGACCUCACUGGAGAGAAUUGUACAUGAGCAAUGUAUGAAUAUGUUAACAAACAGGAUGGAUGUAUGACUUUCAGUCUGGUUUUAUAAAAACAUACUCCCCUGAUUCAUGUCUACUUUACUUGACUUCAUCAGGAAAGGAUUGAUGAGGGGAACUGUGUGGAAUGGUACUGCUGGA